CCAUUCCAGGAAGAGGGCACCAUGUCCUCUCGUACUGGGCUCUUCAGUGUCUGCCACAGCAGGGUCCUGAAGUGGGAGCAAGCAGGCUUCAGGAGAUGGGUGGGAUGAAAUGAAGGGUGGGGGUCAGCCUGGAAGAGGUCUCUUUGCUUCAGAGCACCCAAACCUUCUGUGACAGCCAUCUCUCCCUUCAGUGUGCCUGAAGGGCACCAAGGUGAACUUGAAGUGCCUCCUGGCCUUCACCCAACCGAAGACCUUCCAUGAGGCGAGCGAGGACUGCAUCUCACAAGGGGGCACGCUGGGCACGCCGCAGUCUGAGCUAGAGAAUGAGGCGCUGUUCGAGUAUGCGCGCCAGAGCGUGGGCAGCGAGGCGGAGCUCUGGCUGGGUCUCAACGACAUGGCUUCGGAAGGCGCCUGGGUGGACAUGACCGGCGGCCG
rnacentral:lncRNA from 1 species